rnacentral:lncRNA from 1 species
ACAAUAUUCCAUAAUACAAAAAGGAGCUGGGCUUUGGUAUACCUGUUGUUGCUGUUUUUUGAGCCUGGCAUUUAAUUUCUUCCAUUAAACUGGGAACUUCUAGCUCUAGCUUAUUUGUAUAUGCCUGUAAAAUUCACCCAAAUGGAAAAGGAAAAACAUGAGAGAAAGAGGGAGAAGAAUAGCAGAUGCACCAAAACAAUCAGCAAAUUAAUAUUGAGCCAAACAAAUUAACAAACUAGAAUGACAUACAUGCAUAUAUACAUAUAUGAGACCUGUAGUUCUGUAGAUACAUUCUUAAAGAGAAAAUAAAUUACACAUUACAUCUUAUAUAUAUUUGAAAGAUGUACUUAAUUUAAACAUUUGUUAUCGGAUAAUUAUUUAUAUGGUAAAAAUAGAGGUGCACAACUGUGUAAAUUUUAAAAUUACACAAUACGAUAAUAGUCCACGAUAGUAAAGUGAAUCGUAGAUUGUGUAACUUUAAAAUUACAUAUCUUUGCACAUCCAUAUUCUCCUAUAAUAAUAAUAAUAAUAAUAAUAAUAAUAAUAAUAAUAAUAAUUCAGUCAUCUAUUAUGAGCCGGAAGAAGUCACUUUUAACAAAUAUUACGAAUCUUUUAUAUAAAAAAACUAAAAUCCUUAAAACUUGGUUGUUUUAUAAAUGAGGAAGUACAUAUAUAGCCAUUAGCCAUAUACUAUAUAGGGAGUAGUGUAUAUACAGCAGACCUAACCAACAAGUAAGGCCGUAAAAUAAUAAAUCAAACAGUUUGGGCUAUGUUUAUAUCCGUUCGAUUAAAAAUUUGAUUUAAGCUUCACUCAAAUAUCUUUAAAUUAUAAUUUUUAGAUUACAUUUGUUCGAAAAAUUCAAAUUGUUCAAGUUCGAUUCGAUAUCGUGUUCGACUUGAAAGUUAAAGUUACCUUGUUUAAACUUUAUUUAUACUCAAUAAAUUAUGUGAACCAAAUUAACAACUCAAUUGGAUAAGGCCUUUUUAAUAAAGUUCGUAUAAAAUAAGAGCACUUUCUUUAUAAAUAUAAUAUUUUUUAUAAUUCAUAUAAUGAAAAAUUAUAAAAUUUAUUACGUAUAUUCACACACACAUAUAUAUAUAUAUAUAUACAAUGAUGUCUUACUAGUAUCACUACAUGAAAUAGUUGUAAGUUAGGAUAUCAAAUCAAAUCAAAUCAAAUUUCCUAUUUUUAUCUCAACAUAGGAGUGACAUUCAUUACGGGACAAGCCAAAAGUAAGUAAAAAGGAGAGUUACAUUCCUGUUUUUUAUCCCUUGACCGAACAGCCGACUCCCGGUUCUUGAUCAUACGCUUGUGUCGCCGACGCCGCCGCCGGUGUUCUCAUCGGGAAACGGGAACCUUUGCAUUGAAAGGAGAAGAAACAUUUGAAAUGGGAAUAAAUAAUUAAGUUCUAGCUAGAGAGAUAAAUUAAUUAUAGAGAGAGAGAGAGAGAGUGUGUGUGUGUGUGUGUUGUGCAGUGUAUAUAUGAUGAGAAGAACGGUCAUAAUUUUAUGUUGGAGUUUUGAUUGACAAGUGUCAAAGAAAAGCAUGACGG